rnacentral:tRNA from 1 species
GUGGGGUUGUGGCUCAGUGAUAGAGCGCUUGCCUUGCACACAUGAGGCACUGGGUUCGAAUCUCAGCACCACA